CAACCAGGAAGUUCCCUCUCCAACUUCAAGGCAGCAAAAUUGAAUGCUGGGAGCCCUGGGCACAGCUGAGGCUAAGAUUCGGAGAGAGCAAAUCUAGCCGGAGCCCAAAGGGAGGAAUGCCAGGGAAUUUCUGAAGUGGCUUAUUUCCCAGGGUUAUUGUGAAGUAAGUGAGACAAUAUAUAUAUAAAUGCUUUCUUUAUUGUAAAGGGUGAAAUAGUUCAGUGGUUUAGGGCACAGAUUCUGCAAUCAAGUUCCCUGAGUUUAAAUCUUGGCUCUGUUGCUUUUCUGGCUGGGUGACCUCAGAUGAGGACACUGAGGAGGAGAAGGGUUGAGUACCCUGGUCAAGAUCUCAGAGGUGACAUAUGGCAGAGCCCAGUCAGGUCUAAACCCAAGACUGAUUGUCUUCCAACUGGCAAGUCUACAGCUUUAAUCUCAAUGCACAGCCAUAUUUAAGAUCAUGUAACGACCUUUACAUGGCUUUAUAUGGCUUCUUUGCUUUCUCAAAGUCAAAGAUAUUCGUGGAAUCAUGGAAUGAAGACCCAGAAUUGGUGUCUCUCAGGCCAGCAACAUUUGAUUCUACUUUUUUCUGCCAGCUUUAUUGAGGAGUUUUAUGGCUGCAGGACUUUUAUGGUUCAAGGCUUUAAUCCAUUUUCAGUUAAGUUUUGUGUAUGGUAGAAGAUAGGAGUCCAGUUUCAUCCUUUUGAAUGUGGAUGUCAAGUUUUUCCGGCACCAUUUAUUGAAGAGACUAUCCUUUCCCCCUUGUGUAUCUGUGGCACCUUUGUCAAAAAAUAAUUGACCAUAUUUGAAUGACUGUAUUUAUUUUUGAACGUUUUCUCGAAGGAGCAAGAAAAAUAAAAAUUGUGGAAUA
rnacentral:lncRNA from 1 species